rnacentral:rRNA from 1 species
GACGAACGCUGGCGGCGUGCCUAAUACAUGCAAGUCGAGCGGACCAAAGGGAGCUUGCUCCUGGAGGUCAGCGGCGAACGGGUGAGUAACACGUGGGCAACCUGCCUGUAAGACUGGGAUAACAUCGAGAAAUCGGUGCUAAUACCGGAUAAUAAAAAGAACUGCAUGGUUCUUUUUUGAAAGAUGGUUUCGGCUAUCACUUACAGAUGGGCCCGCGGCGCAUUAGCUAGUUGGUGAGGUAACGGCUCACCAAGGCAACGAUGCGUAGCCGACCUGAGAGGGUGAUCGGCCACACUGGGACUGAGACACGGCCCAGACUCCUACGGGAGGCAGCAGUAGGGAAUCUUCCGCAAUGGACGAAAGUCUGACGGAGCAACGCCGCGUGAGUGAUGAAGGUUUUCGGAUCGUAAAACUCUGUUGUUAGGGAAGAACAAGUGCCGUUCGAAAGGGCGGCACCUUGACGGUACCUAACGAGAAAGCCACGGCUAACUACGUGCCAGCAGCC